ACCGACGCCCAAAGCGAAAGGCACCAGCACGAGGCCGGCGUUACGCAGAAAGGCUUCCGGCAGAUUCAGCAGCGCGGCGAAGAAACCUGCGCCGAAUAUCAGCAUCAGCGCGGCUGCACCNNNNGAUCUGAAGGGCGCGGCGAAGGAAGGGGGACGCAUUGAUCAUGUCAGUUCUCCUUUGGGGUUGACGGGUGGGUUGGGUCAGAACUUGCGGCGGCGGGCGAGGUAUUGACGCAGCA
rnacentral:misc_RNA from 1 species